AUUGGAGCAAUUGAUUGUACACAUGUGAAAAUAGUUUCUCCAGGAGGCACUGAUGCAGAGGUAUUUCGUAACCGGAAGAGAUAUUUUUCAAUAAAUGUGCAAGGUAUUUGCGAUGCCCAUAUGAAAUUUAUAAAUGUUGUUGCACGUUGGCCUGGAUCAAGCCAUGAUGCAACAAUAUUUAAUAUGAGCAAUAUGCGCACAUAUUUUGAAGAUAAUCGAUUCCCAAAUUCCAUUUUACUAGGUGAUAGUGGUUACCCAUGCCGUAAUUAUUUAUUGACCCGUUAAACAAUCAGUCACACAUGAGAACGCGAAACAAAAUCGAAUGCUGCUUUGGAAUUUUGAAGCGGCGUUUUCCAGUAUUGGCAUAUGGUUGCCGAUUAAAACUUCAAAAUUCGUUAAGCGUAAUUGUUGCUGUGACUGUAUUGCAUAAUUUAGCACGGGACAUGAAUGAAUCAGUGCCAGACGCAGAUGAGGAACGGGACAUUCAAGAUUUAAGUGACUUAAUUGCAAAUGGGAACAUCCCGAUAUGCCACCAAAUGACAAUGCUGUUGGUCCUGCUACAAGUGGCAUACAGUUUCGGUCACAAUUAGUCACAGAGUACUUUGCUACAUUACGCGACUAGACUACAAUAAGUAAAUUUGUUAUUGGUGGCGAAUAUUGCACUGCAUAUAGAGCUGUUAAAUGUUUAAAUUAUCUGUAAAUUAUUCCGGGCAUCUACGCGAGCUCUGGCUUAUUGCCAUCUUGCGCUACAACCAAAAAUACAGUCCACAAAAAACUUGUAUGUGAUUCCAACAGUACCGAUUCCCUAUGUCUUACCCUCCGUCUGUAGUCCAAAUGCUGCCCUGAUGAUAUCCAUUUGCAUUGUAUCAUAGAUAAAGACUGAUUUCAUGUUAAACCAGAUUUUGAGCGGAUAUUUUUUAAAGAAGCCAGGUUCAAUUUAUGAAAAACGCUCAAGAUUAAGUGCGAAUAAAGUGACAACUAUUAUUAAAAAGUUUUAAUG
rnacentral:lncRNA from 1 species